rnacentral:rRNA from 1 species
GACGAACCGUGCGAACGUUGUUCGGAAUCACUGGGCUUAAAGGGCGCGUAGGCGGAUAGUAAAGUCAGGGGUGAAAUCUUUCGGCUCAACCGGAAAACUGCCCUUGAUACUGACUGUCUAGAGGGAGAUAGGGGCAUGUGGAACUUCCGGUGGAGCGGUGAAAUGCGUUGAUAUCGGAAGGAACGCCGGUGGCGAAAGCGACGUGCUGGACCUCUUCUGACGCUGAGGCGCGAAAGCUAGGGGAGCGAACGG